UUUUUUCAAUCAAAAUUUUAGUAAUGGAAACUCUUCUUCUUCUUUUCUCUCUUCCUCUUUCUUUCUUUUCUUCAUGCUAGUUUCGAACCCAUAAUUAGAAUUUCUCUAUCCCCAUUCAUCUACGACGCGUGUUGCUUCCCUCAUAUCGAAAGUGUGUUACUUUUUCAUUUAAUUUCCUCUAUAAAAGAAAAGGUUUUAAAAAAAAGGAGUGAGAGAAGAGGUUGCAAUAAUAGCGGAUCGGGUUGGAUUUUAAAGAAGAAGAAAAUGAGGAAAAAGAUGACUAUCGAGAAAUUUUUUGGGAACAUUUUUACACGAUUAUAGCAGUUGGGGUUUUUGGAGGGACAUAUAUAUAUGAUGGCAAAAUUGACAUUUCACUUAUCUGUUAUUAAAAAAUAAACAAUUCUCUAAUGGCAACAAACCAGAGGGACAAAUAUAAAUAUCACUAGUCUUUUGCAGAAAUAAGAGUUAAAAGCUAAACUUUGUAGGGAUAUAUUUGAUAUUCGAUAUGUUUACAGAAAGGUGUAUGCAAUUAACCAUCUACACUUAAAUAAACACCUUUAAAAUUAUAAUUAACACUAUUUAUCGAUUUUAAUAUUUUUAUGGACUUUUAUGCCAUUCGGGCAUACAGUUCAAAUAAUAAAAUCUUAACACUCAGCAAAUCUUAGUCAACUUGUAGGGAAAAAACUUGUAAAUGGUGAAGUUUUGGAAAAAUAUACUUGACAAAUAAAAUUUUAUAAGAAUAAUUUUAAAUAUUUGUAGGGAUGCAUAUGAAAUUAUUUGAAAAAAAAAGGUUGUGAUCAAAAUAAAUGGGUAAAAGUUAGAGAAUGGUAUCAAUAAUUCUUUUUAAGAUCAAAUUUUAAGAA
rnacentral:lncRNA from 1 species